rnacentral:rRNA from 1 species
GAUGAACGCUGGCGGCGUGCCUAAUACAUGCAAGUCGAGCGAACGGGCGAGAAGCUUGCUUUUCUGAUGUUAGCGGCGGACGGGUGAGUAACACGUGUAUAACCUACCUAUAAGACUGGGAUAACUUCGGGAAACCGGAGCUAAUACCGGAUAAUAUUUUGAACCGCAUUGGUCAAAAGUGAAAGACGGUCUUGCUGUCACUUAUAGAUGGAUCCGCGCUGCAUUAGCUAGUUGGUAAGGUAACGGCUUACCAAGGCAACGAUGCGUAGCCGACGUGAGAGGGUGAUCGGCCACACUGGAGCUGGGACACGGUCCAGACUCCUACGGGAGGCAGCAGUAGGGAAUCUGCCGCAAUAGGCGAAAGCCUGACGGAGCAACGCCGCGUGAGUGAUGAAGAUCUUCGGAUCGUAAAACUCUGUUAUUAGGGAAGAACAUAUGUGUAAGUAACUGUGCACAUCUUGACGGUACCUAAUCAGAAAGCCACGGCUAACUACGUG